UACGUAGGGGGCGAGCGUUGUCCGGAGUUACUGGGCGUAAAGGGCGUGCAGGCGGUGCGGUAAGUUUAGCGUGACAGUCUCCGGCUUAACUGGAGAAGGCCGCUGAAAACUGCUGGACUUGAGGGCCAGAGAGGGACAUAGAAUUCCGGGUGGAGUGGUGAAAUGCGUAGAUAUCCGGAGGAAUACCAAAGGCGAAGGCAGUGUCCUGGCUGGCAACUGACGCUGAGGCGCGAAAGUGUGGGGAUCAAACAGG
rnacentral:rRNA from 1 species